rnacentral:tRNA from 1 species
AACUUUUAAAGGAUAACAGCUAAUCCACUGGUCUUAGGAG